CUAGAUGAAAUGGUAGUUCAAAUGUGUUUUGAUUGACAGAAGGGAUUGAAAAACCUUUAAUUAAAGAUCAAGUGAUGAACCUGUUCUUGAUGAAAUCGUCUUAAAGCUGUCUCAAGCUGCCGGGUUGUAAGUUGUAAAUUUUAAUUAUUUUCCACUCUAUUUAGCAGCUUCAGAAGCCGGGUCAAUUUCUUGCGUUCAAGACUAACGUAUCUUAAAUAGAUGGCGCUCUCUCCUUUAGUUCUUAUCACAUUGACGAUUUUGCGAGCGUCAGUUCGCGCUGAAGCUGGCAGCCCAAACUGCCUUGCUAGAUGUGAGUGUAAAAAGAUACCUGAACUUGAAGCCAAGUGCUCGUUGGACGAUUUUCAGCAGUUGACGACAUCUAUUCUUCGACCCGCUGAAAUUCAAUCUUUGAAGAUAUCGUUGGCAAAGGAAGUGGAAACAGUUCCGAAUGGAUUCUU